GGGGAAUAUUGCGCAAUGGGGGAAACCCUGACGCAGCAAUACCGCGUGAGUGAAGAAGGUUUUCGGAUCGUAAAGCUCUGUUAUUGGGGAAGAAAAAAAGACGGUACCCAAGAAGAAAGUCCCGGCUAACUACGUGCCAGCAGCCGCGGUAAUACGUAGGUGGCGAGCGUUGUCCGGAAUUACUGGGCGUAAAGGGUGUGCAGGCGGAUAUUUAAGUGAGAUGUGAAAGACCCGGGCUUAACCCGGGCAGUGCAUUUCAAACUGGAUAUCUAGAGUGCAGGAGAGGAGAACGGAAUUCCUAGUGUAGCGGUGAAAUGCGUAGAGAUUAGGAAGAACACCAGUGGCGAAGGCGGUUCUCUGGACUGUAACUGACGCUGAGGCACGAAAGCGUGGGUAGCAAACA
rnacentral:rRNA from 2 species